GCCGAGACAACUCAGUCGAUAGAGCAGAGGACUAAAAAUCCUCAUGCCACCAGUUCAAAUCUGGUUCUUGACA
rnacentral:tRNA from 1 species